UUGACUGAUAUUAAAGUUGCGGAGUUAAUAGAUUCAAAUAGUAGAACAUGGAAAAAGGAGUUGAUAAUGUAUACCUUUUCGGAGGAUGUUACCGAGAUGAUUCUCGGUAUCCUGCUGGCAGAAAGACCACACGAAGAUUUCCAAGUCUGGAGUGCUGAAGCGUCGGGUGAGUACACAAUACGUAGCGCCUAUAAACUAUUACAAAGUACUGAAGAUGAUCCUAGAGCUUAUGCUUUACAAGCCGACUAUAAGGACUUUUACAGAAAACUAUGGCUACUAGAUCUUCCUUCAAAGAUAAAAAUUACAGCUUGGAAGAUAUCAUGGAAUUUCCUAGCUACACGUGUUAAUAUGCUACUUAGAAGGCUAACGAAUACAUCAGUAUGUCCCCGGUGUGGCUCAGGAACAGAAACUAUGGACCAUUUCUUCCGUGAAUGUCCUGUUUCAACAUCAGUGUGGAGAGAGUUAUCAUUUCAUAAGUGUUUACAAGAUAAUCAGAUGGGGUUUCUACAGUGGCUAACCUGGGUUUUUUCACAAAGCUCGGCAUCCCAGUGUCGGAUCUUUUGUUGUGCAUUAUAGGCUAUCUGGGGAGACAGGAAUAAUAGAGUGCAUAAAAAAGAGAGUAAAUCUUGAAAAGAAAUAGGGAGAUUUGUUCAUAGCAACACAUCAGAGUUAAAUGAGGUUGGUAAAAAUAGAUCACAAACUUCUAUACUUGUUAAAAAAUGGAAAAGGCCAUCUGACCGAGUUGUUAAGAUCAAUUUUGACGCAGCAUAUGAAGGUAGACAAAAUAAAGCGGUGGUGGGAAUAGUGGCCAAAGACAUAGAGGGUACAGUUCUCCUAUCUUGCUUGGAGGUCCACCAACGGGUUUCAUCAGCCUUUGCUACGGAGGCAGUCGAGUGUCGAAAUGUACUCCAAAUCGACGUUUACAUGCAGUGGGAAAAAGUUAUUAUUGAAGGAGACUCUUUGUCAAUAAUAAGGAAAUGCAAAACAAAAAGCCCAGACAAAUCAUUGGUCAGUGCGUAUAUUCAUGACAUUCAUCAGCUACUGUUAAAUUUUAAGGAUUGUAGGUUUGAGUAUAUCCCAAGAUUAGCAAAUAGUCUCGGCAUAUCUUAGCAACUAAAGCGUUGAAGAGUAAUAAAGGAGAUUACCUGGUCGGAAGUGUCCCUGAAGUUGCAGAAAAACAAGCGGAAAAUGAAAGAGUGAGAGAACCAGAUUGAAAUAAGAAAGGGGAUAAAAUGGAGUGAGGGGAGUCUGAGAAGGGUAGGUAAUAGAGUGACUAAAGCAGGCCCUUGGGUGAAUUGAAAACGUCUUGAAGAAGUAAAGAAAGAUGAAAAGACAAAACGUUUAUUUUCUUUUGAUGCUGAUUGGGCAGGUAGAACGGCAACAUUAAUUUGUUUCAGACUUUUGUUUCCUUUUUUGGUUUCCUAGGCGAUUAGGUUUCCAUUUAAUUUUGUUUUAGUUUUACCUUUUGUUGGGCCAAGUCUAAUAACUGGGCUCUUUCUCUUUUCUUUUUAGGACCAUAUGUGUAGUAAUGUAGUUUAUUUAAAUAAAGUCCAAUCUGAAAUUUUAUU
rnacentral:lncRNA from 1 species